UACGUAGGGGGCAAGCGUUGUCCGGAUUUAUUGGGCGUAAAGAGCGUGUAGGCGGCUUUACAGGUCCGUUGUGAAAACUCGAGGCUCAACCUCGAGACGCCGGUGGAAACCGUAAGGCUAGAGUCCGGAAGAGGAGAGUGGAAUUCCUGGUGUAGCGGUGAAAUGCGCAGAUAUCAGGAAGAACACCCGUGGCGAAAGCGGCUCUCUGGAACGGUACUGACGCUGAGACGCGAAAGCGUGGGUAG
rnacentral:rRNA from 1 species